rnacentral:lncRNA from 1 species
AAAUUUUGAAGUGAGGAAUGCUCCGGAUGGAUGGAUGGAUGGAUGGAUGGAUGGAUGGAUGGAUGGAUGGGAGGCCAGUCUCAUUUAUAACUGAUUCAUAGAGUGUUUUCAUGUGCAGAGCAUUCCCAGAAGUUCACUCCUUAGCACUUCAGCUCUCUCAGCACCUCUCUCUUAAUGUACUUCUCCAGACACAGGAAGCAUUUCUGCUCUGCAAAGACAAGAUUUCAUUAAGCUGUGGGGUUUUAACACAAGAGGAGGUGCCAUUUUGAUUUACUUCUCUGAUUCACACCAGAAAAGGUCCAGAUCCACCUCUUUGUCUGAUGUAAGUCAUGAACACUGAUUUUCUCACCUUCCUUCACAGAUGCAAGAUCACUCGAGCCCCAGUGACCAUCUAAGUGUGUGCUUGCAAAAGAAACACCAGAGACCAAUCUGUUCAUGAACCAGCCACACAAUUUUCAGGCUGGCAGAUAAACUUGAAACCAGCUUGCACAAGCCUGAAUCCUGCAGGGAACAGUAAGGAGCAAUGUCAGCUUCAGGAUCUGAGCAAGAAGAAAACUGCAGGACUGGGGCUGAACACACCUGGCAUUGGCAGCAGGGCACUUCCACAGCCAGGGAGUGCCCAGAAGAGCUCGCUAUUCAUCUCUCAGACUUUGGUUUCACUUCUCUGCCUUGCAGCUCUGCACAAACAGCUGGGAAGUGCAUCAGCUCUCCAGUCCUUAUCUGCCCUCUCUCACACUUGGAAAUGCAGCAGCCUUUCCCAAGCCAAAAUGCAAAAGGCUGGUGAGGAACAAGGAUUUAUCUGCUCUAUCACAGCAGGUAUAGAAAAAGAGUGACAUGAAGGCAAGUUAUGUGCCUGGGCCCACUGCUCCCAGCUCCUCUACACCAGGCAAGACAUUUCUGUUUUUACAAAAGGCAAGCUGGGAAGUCAGCCUAUGAGUGAUCCUGUCUUUCCCCCACCACAAAGCUGGUAAAAAGGCACACUGUGAAAAGGAAAUCUGUUAUUGUUGUUUGUUUGUUUUGGGGGGUUUUGUUUGGGUUUUUUUUGUUUUGUUUUUUUAAAGGGAGCCAUUUAACAUACAGUCAACUCCUAUGACAAAAUAAAGUUGUUAUGAGAAAAAUUACA